GACGAACGCUGGCGGCGUGCCUAAUACAUGCAAGUUGAGCGAUGAAGCUUGGUGCUUGCACCAAUUUGAAGAGCAGCGAACGGGUGAGUAACGCGUGGGGAAUCUGCCUUUGAGCGGGGGACAACAUUUGGAAACGAAUGCUAAUACCGCAUAACAACUUUAAACAUAAGUUUUAAGUUUGAAAGAUGCAAUUGCAUCACUCAAAGAUGAUCCCGCGUUGUCUUAGCUAGUUGGUGAGGUAAAGGCUCACCAAGGCGAUGAUACGUAGCCGACCUGAAAGGGGGAUCGGAGACAGUGGAACUGAGACACGGUCAAGACUCCUACGGGAGGCAGCAGUAGGGAAUCUUACGCAAUGGGCGAAAGCGUGACGGAGCAAAGCCGCGUGAGUGAGGAGGGUCUUCGGAUCGUAAAACUCUGUUAUUAGGGAAGAACAAAUGUGUAAGUAACUAUGCACGUCUUGACGGUACCUAAUCAGAAAGACACGGCUAACUACGUG
rnacentral:rRNA from 1 species